rnacentral:misc_RNA from 1 species
AACUAACGCUAUUAUUGAUACAGUUUCUGUACUUUAUUGGUAUGAGAAGCUUCCAGAAUUAUUAAUUAAUUCGGAAAAUUUUGGAAUAAACCUUCGGGUU